CUCACGAAUAUGUCUUCGAUUAUAAAGACGGGGAAGUGUAUUGGUGUACCGCGGAUGUCGGUUGGAUCACCGGGCACUCAUACAUGGUUU
rnacentral:tRNA from 1 species